rnacentral:rRNA from 1 species
GUGGCGAACGGGUGAGUAACGCGUUGGUGACCUGCCCCGAAGAGGGGGAUAACAGUCCGAAAGGAUUGCUAAUACCCCAUNGUGGUCAAGAGGAUUAGAUGCCUUAUGACUAAACGGAGAAAUUCGCUUCGGGAGGGGCCUGCGUCCCAUCAGCUAGUUGGUAGGGUAAUAGCCUACCAAGGCGAUGACGGGUAGGGGACCUGAGAGGGUGGCCCCCCACAAUGGAACUGAAACACGGUCCAUACACCUACGGGUGGCAGCAGUAGGGAAUAUUGGUAAUCUGGGAAACCGGGAACCAGCAACGCCGCGUGCGCGAUGAAGGCCUUCGGGUUGUAAAGCGCUUUUUGAGAGGAUGAGGAAGGACAGUACUCUUAGAAUAAGCCUCGGCUAACUACGUGCCAGCAGCCGCGGUAAAACGUAGGAGGCGAGCGUUAUCCGGAUUUACUGGGCGUAAAGCGUGUGUAGGCGGUUNUGAUAAGUUGGAUGUGAAAGCUCCUGGCUUAACUGGGAGAGGUCGUUCAAAACUAUCAGANCUUGAGAGUGGUAGAGGGANGGUGGAAUUCCGCAUGUAGUGGUGAAAUGCGUAGAUAUGCGGAGGAACACCAGUGGCGAAAGCGGCCUCNCUGGCCCAUUUCUGACGCUCAGACACGAAAGCUAAGGUAGCAAACGGGAUUAGAGACCCCGGUAGUCUUAGCUGUAAACGAUGUGAACUUAGUGUCGGUGGGGNNUUAAAUCNNCAUNCGGUACUGAAGCUAACGCGAUAAGUUCACCGCCUGAGGNACUACGGCCGCAAGGUUAAAACUCAAAGGAANUUGACGGGGCNCCCGCACAAGCAGCGGARCCGUGUGGNUUUNAAUUCGAUGYUACACGAAGAACCUUANCCAGGGUUUGACAUNGCAAGNUNGGNUAGGNAAACCGAAANGGCGACCGACCCNUUNCNGGGGAGCUNUGCACAGGNUGCUGCAUNGGCUGUCGUCAGCUCGUG